CAAAUAAAACAAAAAUAAUCUGCCCCAUGCCAGGCUCGAACUGGCGACCUUGGCAUAACCUAUAGACUAUAAGUACCACGCGCUAACCGACUGCGCCAAUGGGGCACGGCCCUAACGCAUGAGAAUUAGCCUUGACAAGUAUACUGCUCU
ensembl:ncRNA F57F5.7 ncRNA